GAUCGACAAAACUUUGGCUCACCCGCAUAUUUCUCAGGGAUGGGGAGGCGUGGUUCGGACUGGGAAAUCCCUCCGGAGACGAUCGGCGGUGUGGGUGGCGUGGGAGGCGCAGCGGGUGGCGGUUGUUGUUGUCGUUGAGCCUGGAGAGCGAGCUCGGACACCUUCGUCACCAUUGCUUGGAAAGCUCGACCCAUCUCAUCUAUCGCCUUGUCUUGGCGAUCCAUACGACCAACGGCUCUCUGCAGAAACUCCUCCAGAUGAGAUGGGGAGCGAUCGCCUGCUGCUUCCAUGAUGGUCAGAUCCUACUGUGACGGCUUGUAAAAGAGGAGGAAGCAAUUGCAGGCAAUCAGAAGAAGUUUAUUGAUAUCAGAGUCCAGAAUGUAGGCAAUGGAAACGAAGGUCUACGGUGGCGUGAGAAGAGCUGGAUGGUGAAGUCGAUGGUGAAGGUGAAGACGGUCAAUGGAUGAAACCAGGAACAGACCGGAACACUGACACGAAGACGACAACACGAACACAAUCCAGCACACGAACACGGAAGACGGUAAACCAACUAGGAAGUGGAGACAUGAAUGAGGAUCUGACAACAGACAGAGAGAUGAGUGAGUAUAUGUAGCUGAGUGGAGAUGAGGAUCAGCUGGAGCGAGACAAUCAACACACAGGUGACAACAAUCAACCAAACGAGCACAUGGAGACUACAUGUGAAGAUAACAUUGCAAAAGAACCUUAUGCAAAGCGAGCCAAUGCAAAUAAGAAGCCCUCUCAGGAACCUGAAACACUGACAAAGUGAGACACACACUCCUAUGAGACUCUUUAUGUCCUUCAGAGCACGUAAACAAUACACACAUUGGAAAUGCUAGGUAUGUGAUGUUCAUUUAUGUAUUUCAACAUGACACAAUACCAGUCCAAAGCUUUUGAACAGCAAUAUUUAUCAUGUUUUUGUAAAGAAUUGAACUUCUGCUCACCAAGCCUGCAUUUAUUUGAUCCAAAAUACAUAAAGUUGCAUUUGCUAAAGCAGUAAUACUGUGAAAUAUAUUUACUAUUUCAAAUAACUGCUUUCUAUUUGAAUAUAUUUUAAAAUUUAAGUUAUUCCUGUGAUCAAAGCUACAUUUUCAGCAUCGUUACUCCAGUCUUACUCCAAGUAAAACAAUAUACACUAUACCAUUCAUAAGCUUAGAGUCGAUAUAUAUAGAAAUUAAAACUUUUAUUUAGCACACCCUUGAUGAUAAAUACAAUAAUCAUGUUACAAACGAUGCUGUUCUUUCAAUUCAUCAUCAU
ensembl:lncRNA